GACUAACAGCGCAGGUCCGGGCGGCGGCUCUGAGCACGUCCCAGCCUGCAGCGGGCUCUGGGAGCAGAGUCGCGGCAUCAGAGCGCGCUGGGCUUUCCACACAGGCAGAGCUCCCAGCCCGGCCCUCUAAUUACAGCUGCCUUUCUGCCUACAGCACCCACUUCUUCUGCCAAGAAUAUUCUCCUGGGAAACGGGUGCCCUCUGGUGGCCCUGCCAGUGCUCUGCCGAUGCCCAGUCCUCAGCCUCUGCAGGGGGGAAAAAGGCCUCCAAGGAUCACCCCCAGCCCUACCGGAAGCCCGUCCACCCUCCGCAGAGCUUUGGGGAGGCCCUUCCCAGCCCGCUGCCGGCAGGGUGACACGCACACUCCUGGCAUUCAUUCGCCCACAGACAUUUCUCCUUAUGACUGUGAGCCAGACUCAGCAGUGCUGGGAGCCUGGGGCCGGCAUGUCCAGGGCCCGAGGCUGCUCCAGCCCCCCUGCCCUGUUCCCACCCUUGAGGGCCAAUGGGCUCCCGCCAUCAAGAUCCCUCUGAGCACCUGCAGACGGAGCAUCUGAGAGAGCCCAGGCAUUUCUGGCAGGCAGCACCUGUGGCGGAUUCUGCACAACAAAGGCCUGGGGAACCUGCCAGAUGCCCGCUGUGGAGCAGGGAGAGAAGUCAACAUACCAUGAGUGUGAAUUUCUACCAGUUCAUGUCAGUGGAAUCAAACAGCAGUCUGCUCCUCGUCCAGUUGUCCUGGAUCCUGAGACUCACCUGUGAGCAGCCGUUCCCUGUCACUGCUGCAGCAAAGAGCCUCUCCUCAGCCCUUGGUGAGGAGCGUUCAGGCUGCUCACUGCGUAGCUG